rnacentral:rRNA from 1 species
UACGUAGGGCGCAAGCGUUUGUCCGGAAUUAUUGGGCGUAAAGAGCUCGUAGGCGGUCUGUCGCGUCGGCUGUGAAAACCCGAGGCUCAACCUCGGGCCUGCAGUCGAUACGGGCAGACUAGAGUGCUGUAGGGGAGACUGGAAUUCCUGGUGUAGCGGUGAAAUGCGCAGAUAUCAGGAGGAACACCGGUGGCGAAGGCGGCUCACUGGACCGGAACUGACGCUGAGGCGCGAAAGCGUGGGGAGCAAACAGG